AUACGUAGGUGGCAAGCGUUAUCCGGAAUUACUGGGUGUAAAGGGCGCGUAGGCGGGACUGCAAGUCAGAUGUGAAAUCUGGGGGCUCAACCCCCAAACUGCAUUUGAAACUGUGGUUCUUGAGUGAUGGAGAGGCAAGUGGAAUUCCUAGUGUAGCGGUGAAAUGCGUAGAUAUUAGGAGGAACACCAGUGGCGAAGGCGACUUGCUGGACAUUAACUGACGCUGAGGCGCGAAAGCGUGGGGAGC
rnacentral:rRNA from 1 species